GAUGAACGCUGGCGGCGUGCUUAACACAUGCAAGUCGAACGGAAAGGCCCAAGCUUGCUUGGGUACUCGAGUGGCGAACGGGUGAGUAACACGUGGGUGAUCUGCCCUGCACUUCGGGAUAAGCCUGGGAAACUGGGUCUAAUACCGGAUAGGACGAUGGUUUGGAUGCCAUUGUGGAAAGUUUUUUCGGUGUGGGAUGAGCUCGCGGCCUAUCAGCUUGUUGUGGGGUAAUGGCCUACCAAGGCGUCGACGGGUAGCCGGCCUGAGAGGGUGUACGGCCACAUUGGGACUGAGAUACGGCCCAGACUCCUACGGGAGGCAGCAGUGGGGAAUAUUGCACAAUGGGCGCAAGCCUGAUGCAGCGACGCCGCGUGGGGGAUGACGGCCUUCGGGUUGUAAACUCCUUUCGCUAGGGACGAAGCGUUUUUGUGACGGUACCUGGAGAAGAAGCACCGGCUAACUACGUG
rnacentral:rRNA from 1 species